UAACGAAUAUUCCGCAAUGCGCGAAAGCGUGACGGAGCAAUGCCGCGUGCAGGAUGAACCCCCUCGGGGUGUAAACUGCUGUCAGGGAUCAGGAAGAAAGUGACCAAUCCCAAAGGAAGGACCGGCUAACUUCGUGCCAGCAGCCGCGGUAAUACGAAGGGUCCGAGCGUUAAUCAGAAUCACUGGGCUUAAAGCGUACGUAGGCCGACAUGCAGGUAUCUUGUGAAAUCCCUCCGCUCAACGGAGGAACUGCUUGGUAAACCGCAUGUCUCGAGACAGGUAGGGGUUGUCGGAACGAUAGGUGGAGUGGUGAAAUGCGUUGAUAUCUAUCGGAACGCCAACGGAGCAGUCAGGCAACUGGGCCUGUUCUGACGCUGAUGUACGAAAGCGUGGGUAGCGAACGGGAUUAGAUACCCCCGUAGUCC
rnacentral:rRNA from 1 species